rnacentral:hammerhead_ribozyme from 1 species
AUCCAGUUGACGAAUCUCAAAUAGGACGAAACGCGCGUCAAACUGGAU